UGAGGAAUCUUGCGCAAUGGGGGCAACCCUGACGCAGCCACGCCGCGUGGAGGAAGACGGCCCUACGGGUUGUAAACUCCUUUUCUGGCCGAAGAACCCAGGCCUUUCGGGGCCUGCUGACGGUAGGUCAGGAAUAAGCACCGGCUAACUCCGUGCCAGCAGCCGCGGUAAUACGGAGGGUGCAAGCGUUGUCCGGAAUCAUUGGGUGUAAAGGGUACGCAGGCGGGCGUCUGCGUCCGGGGUGAAAUCCUGCCGCUUAACGGUAGAAGGGCCUCGGAUACGGGACGUCUUGAGUCGGGCAGAGGCCGGCGGAAUUCGUGGUGUAGCGGUGAAAUGCAUAGAUAUCACGAAGAACACCAGUGGCGAAAGCGGCCGGCUGGGCCUUGACUGACGCUGAGGUACGAAAGCGUGGGGAGCGAACA
rnacentral:rRNA from 1 species